GGUUAAGCGACUAAGCGUACACGGUGGAUGCCCUGGCAGUCAGAGGCGAUGAAGGACGUGCUAAUCUGCGAUAAGCGUCGGUAAGGUGAUAUGAACCGUUAUAACCGGCGAUUUCCGAAUGGGGAAACCCAGUGUGAUUCGUCACACUAUCAUUAACUGAAUCCAUAGGUUAAUGAGGCGAACCGGGGGAACUGAAACAUCUAAGUACCCCGAGGAAAAGAAAUCAACCGAGAUUCCCCCAGUAGCGGCGAGCGAACGGGGAGCAGCCCAGAGCCUGAAUCAGUGUGUGUGUUAGUGGAAGCGUCUGGAAAGGCGCGCGAUACAGGGUGACAGCCCCGUACACAAAAAUGCACAUGCUGUGAGCUCGAUGAGUAGGGCGGGACACGUGGUAUCCUGUCUGAAUAUGGGGGGACCAUCCUCCAAGGCUAAAUACUCCUGACUGACCGAUAGUGAACCAGUACCGUGAGGGAAAGGCGAAAAGAACCCCGGCGAGGGGAGUGAAAAAGAACCUGAAACCGUGUACGUACAAGCAGUGGGAGCACAGAGCAAUCUGUGUGACUGCGUACCUUUUGUAUAAUGGGUCAGCGACUUAUAUUCUGUAGCAAGGUUAACCGAAUAGGGGAGCCGAAGGGAAACCGAGUCUUAACUGGGCGUUAAGUUGCAGGGUAUAGACCCGAAACCCGGUGAUCUAGCCAUGGGCAGGUUGAAGGUUGGGUAACACUAACUGGAGGACCGAACCGACUAAUGUUGAAAAAUUAGCGGAUGACUUGUGGCUGGGGGUGAAAGGCCAAUCAAACCGGGAGAUAGCUGGUUCUCCCCGAAAGCUAUUUAGGUAGCGCCUCGUGAAUUCAUCUCCGGGGGUAGAGCACUGUUUCGGCAAGGGGGUCAUCCCGACUUACCAACCCGAUGCAAACUGCGAAUACCGGAGAAUGUUAUCACGGGAGACACACGGCGGGUGCUAACGUCCGUCGUGAAGAGGGAAACAACCCAGACCGCCAGCUAAGGUCCCAAAGUCAUGGUUAAGUGGGAAACGAUGUGGGAAGGCCCAGACAGCCAGGAUGUUGGCUUAGAAGCAGCCAUCAUUUAAAGAAAGCGUAAUAGCUCACUGGUCGAGUCGGCCUGCGCGGAAGAUGUAACGGGGCUAAACCAUGCACCGAAGCUGCGGCAGCGACGCUGAUGCGUUGUUGGGUAGGGGAGCGUUCUGUAAGCCUGCGAAGGUGUGCUGUGAGGCAUGCUGGAGGUAUCAGAAGUGCGAAUGCUGACAUAAGUAACGAUAAAGCGGGUGAAAAGCCCGCUCGCCGGAAGACCAAGGGUUCCUGUCCAACGUUAAUCGGGGCAGGGUGAGUCGACCCCUAAGGCGAGGCCGAAAGGCGUAGUCGAUGGGAAACAGGUUAAUAUUCCUGUACUUGGUGUUACUGCGAAGGGGGGACGGAGAAGGCUAUGUUGGCCGGGCGACGGUUGUCCCGGUUUAAGCGUGUAGGCUGGUUUUCCAGGCAAAUCCGGAAAAUCAAGGCUGAGGCGUGAUGACGAGGCACUACGGUGCUGAAGCAACAAAUGCCCUGCUUCCAGGAAAAGCCUCUAAGCAUCAGGUAACAUCAAAUCGUACCCCAAACCGACACAGGUGGUCAGGUAGAGAAUACCAAGGCGCUUGAGAGAACUCGGGUGAAGGAACUAGGCAAAAUGGUGCCGUAACUUCGGGAGAAGGCACGCUGAUAUGUAGGUGAAGCGACUUGCUCGUGGAGCUGAAAUCAGUCGAAGAUACCAGCUGGCUGCAACUGUUUAUUAAAAACACAGCACUGUGCAAACACGAAAGUGGACGUAUACGGUGUGACGCCUGCCCGGUGCCGGAAGGUUAAUUGAUGGGGUUAGCGCAAGCGAAGCUCUUGAUCGAAGCCCCGGUAAACGGCGGCCGUAACUAUAACGGUCCUAAGGUAGCGAAAUUCCUUGUCGGGUAAGUUCCGACCUGCACGAAUGGCGUAAUGAUGGCCAGGCUGUCUCCACCCGAGACUCAGUGAAAUUGAACUCGCUGUGAAGAUGCAGUGUACCCGCGGCAAGACGGAAAGACCCCGUGAACCUUUACUAUAGCUUGACACUGAACAUUGAGCCUUGAUGUGUAGGAUAGGUGGGAGGCUUUGAAGUGUGGACGCCAGUCUGCAUGGAGCCGACCUUGAAAUACCACCCUUUAAUGUUUGAUGUUCUAACGUGGACCCGUAAUCCGGGUUGCGGACAGUGUCUGGUGGGUAGUUUGACUGGGGCGGUCUCCUCCUAAAGAGUAACGGAGGAGCACGAAGGUUGGCUAAUCCUGGUCGGACAUCAGGAGGUUAGUGCAAUGGCAUAAGCCAGCUUGACUGCGAGCGUGACGGCGCGAGCAGGUGCGAAAGCAGGUCAUAGUGAUCCGGUGGUUCUGAAUGGAAGGGCCAUCGCUCAACGGAUAAAAGGUACUCCGGGGAUAACAGGCUGAUACCGCCCAAGAGUUCAUAUCGACGGCGGUGUUUGGCACCUCGAUGUCGGCUCAUCACAUCCUGGGGCUGAAGUAGGUCCCAAGGGUAUGGCUGUUCGCCAUUUAAAGUGGUACGCGAGCUGGGUUUAGAACGUCGUGAGACAGUUCGGUCCCUAUCUGCCGUGGGCGCUGGAGAACUGAGGGGGGCUGCUCCUAGUACGAGAGGACCGGAGUGGACGCAUCACUGGUGUUCGGGUUGUCAUGCCAAUGGCACUGCCCGGUAGCUAAAUGCGGAAGAGAUAAGUGCUGAAAGCAUCUAAGCACGAAACUUGCCCCGAGAUGAGUUCUCCCUGACUCCUUGAGAGUCCUGAAGGAACGUUGAAGACGACGACGUUGAUAGGCCGGGUGUGUAAGCGCAGCGAUGCGUUGAGCUAACCGGUACUAAUGAACCGUGAGGCUUAACCUU
rnacentral:rRNA from 1 species